GGGGACGUGAGCUGCUGAUGGGGAUUCCCAGGAGCUGUGGGAGCCCUGGAGCACGGAUUGGCUUCUUGCAGUGCUAUGUGAAGGAGAGGAGGCUUUGCUUAAUGAAGCAGAAUGAGAGCUAAUCAGAGCGAUGCUCUCCAGCAGGCUUCUGUGCACGGCGUUACAGUGAGAUCUGAAAUUCCUUUUGCUGCUCAUGCAUACAAAGCAGGAAGAGCGAGCACGGCUGCAGACUGUUUGUGCUUUCAGAUGGUCUCGCCAAGGAAAAAACAACAGGGUAGCGGGAAGAAAGCGCAUUUGCUCGGAAACACGUCUGGAGUGCAGCUCCCCAGUGCUCAGCCUAGGGCAGGGCAGGGACACAGAGAGCCCUGCAGCCAUCCCAGCACACACCCACAGCUCCUGC